UACGUAGGGGGGCAAGCGUUGUCCGGAAUUAUUGGGCGUAAAGGGCGCGUAGGCGGCCGGAUAAGUCAAAGGUGAAAUCCCUCGGCUCAACUGAGGAACUGCCUUUGAUACUGUUUGGCUCGAGUCCGGGAGGGGGUAGCGGAAUUCCCAGUGUAGCGGUGAAAUGCGUAGAUAUUGGGAGGAACACCAGUGGCGAAGGCGGCUACCUGGACCGGAACUGACGCUGAGGAGCGAAAGCCAGGGGAGCAAACGGGG
rnacentral:rRNA from 1 species